rnacentral:tRNA from 2 species
GCUGGGUAAGCACAUAUGGAUGUGCAAGCGGCUGAUAACCGAAAGGCAGCAGGUUCGAGUCCUGCACCCAGUACCA